AAGCUCCCGGCCCUACAAAGCAGUUCAUACGGAGGCUCCUGGUCCCAUACAGCUGCUCCUGGUCCUGUGGGGCUGCUCCAGGCUGUAUAUAGGACUGGUCCUUAUAUAGGGCCAUACAGCAGCUCCUGGUCCCAUAUGGACACUCCUGGUCCUAUAAAGGUGCUCCUGGCCCUAUAAACCCGCUCCUGCCCUAUAAGAGCACUCCUGGUCCUGGGGGGCUGCUCUUUGCCCCAUAAGGCUGCUCUGGCCCCUAUAUAGGACCGGUCCCUAUAUAGGGCCAUACAGCAGCUCCUGGUCCCAUAUGGACACUCCUGGUCCUAUAAAGGUGCUCCUGGCCCUAUAAAGCCGCCCCGGCCCUACAAGAGCACUCCUGUCCCUGUACGGCUGCUCCCAGCCCCGCGAGGCUCCUCGGGGCCGUAUAUAGGACCGGUCCCUAUAUAGGACCGUGGGGGGGGG
rnacentral:lncRNA from 1 species